UACAGAGGGGGCGAGCGUUGUUCGGAAUUACUGGGCGUAAAGGGCGCGUAGGCGGCCCGCUAAGUCGAACGUGAAAUCCCCAGGCUCAACCUGGGAACUGCGUCCGAUACUGGCAGGCUUGAAUCCGGGAGAGGGAUGUGGAAUUCCAGGUGUAGCGGUGAAAUGCGUAGAUAUCUGGAGGAACACCGGUGGCGAAGGCGGCUACCUGGACCGGUACUGACGCUGAGGCGCGAAAGCUAGGGUAGCAAACAGG
rnacentral:rRNA from 1 species